GGCUCCGUAGCUCAGGGGAUAGAGCAUGGGUUUCCUAAACCUUGUGUCGCAGGUUCGAAUCCUGCCGGGGUCG
rnacentral:tRNA from 1 species